UGCAGUCUGUACAGCCUGCUGGCCAACAAAUAGAAUCUUCCAUGAACAGUCGUGAUGCCAUCAGCAUUGUCGAGCAUUAAUUCUACGUCUUCGAUGACCUUCUUUGCUCUAUCCUGAUCAUUGAGCUUAUCAAGGAGAAUUUGUCCGCUGAGAACUUUGCAGAGAGCAACCGCUUCAUUAUUAUUUUUUAUUUUCGAUUCUGUUUUUUCCAAGAAGGUGAUGGCCUCCUGUUUAUCUUGGAACUGCUGUAUAACAUGUGCCAAAAUCUCAACCAACGACAAUGGGUUGAUCCUGGAUUAGGGCGGGAUUCUCUACGAAGGUUUCCAAUUUCAGUGUGAGCUGAUGCCAAAGCCUGCA
rnacentral:misc_RNA from 1 species